UACGUAGGGUGCAAGCGUUGUCCGGAAUUAUUGGGCGUAAAGAGCUCGUAGGCGGUUUGUCGCGUCUGCUGUGAAAACCCGAGGCUCAACCUCGGGCCUGCAGUGGGUACGGGCAGACUAGAGUUCGGUAGGGGAGAUCGGAAUUCCUGGUGUAGCGGUGAAAUGCGCAGAUAUCAGGAGGAACACCGGUGGCGAAGGCGGAUCUCUGGGCCGAUACUGACGCUGAGGAGCGAAAGCGUGGGGAGCGAACAGG
rnacentral:rRNA from 1 species